AAAACUAUACAUUCAGGGAUCAUUUCUACAGUUCAUUACUAGGAAAGUCUCUCAGAACAUGUAGAGCACCGGGGGAGGGGGCACAGUGUUCUCUCCUGAGCAUGAAGCCAGCUCUUGGUGUCGCCAUUUGCCAUUAAUGAUCAUUCUUCUCUUCCUUUGAGAAAGUAGGAGGGAGAGGGCACAGUCUAAGUGGU
rnacentral:snoRNA from 1 species